rnacentral:rRNA from 1 species
GACGAACGCUGGCGGCGUGCCUAAUACAUGCAAGUAGAACGCUGAAGGAGGAGCUUGCUUCUCUGGAUGAGUUGCGAAAGGGUGAGUAACGCGUAGGUAACCUGCCUGGUAGCGGGGGAUAACUAUUGGAAACGAUAGCUAAUACCGCAUAAGAGUAGAUGUUGCAUGACAUUUGCUUAAAAGGUGCAAUUGCAUCACUACCAGAUGGACCUGCGUUGUAUUAGCUAGUUGGUGGGGUAACGGCUCACCAAGGCGACGAUACAUAGCCGACCUGAGAGGGUGAUCGGCCACACUGGGACUGAGACACGGCCCAGACUCCUACGGGAGGCAGCAGUAGGGAAUCUUCGGCAAUGGACGGAAGUCUGACCGAGCAACGCCGCGUGAGUGAAGAAGGUUUUCGGAUCGUAAAGCUCUGUUGUAAGAGAAGAACGAGUGUGAGAGUGGAAAGUUCACACUGUGACGGUAUCUUACCAGAAAGGGACGGCUAACUACGUG